rnacentral:rRNA from 1 species
UACGGGGGGAGCAAGCGUUGUUCGGAUUUACUGGGCGUAAAGGGCGCGUAGGCGGCCACCGCAAGUCGGUUGUGAAAUCUCUGGGCUUAACCCAGAAAGGUCAACCGAUACUGCGGGGCUAGAGUGCAGAAGGGGCAACUGGAAUUCUCGGUGUAGCGGUGAAAUGCGUAGAUAUCUGGAGGAACACCGGUGGCGAAGGCGGCGUUCUGGACUGCAACUGACACUGAUGAACGAAAGCCAGGGGAGCAAACGGG